CAAGCUCCAGUUCUCAAAAAGUCCCGGGAACCAAUUUUCUGUAUGUGUUUUAUUGCCUUAUUCAAGUGAUUUAACAUUUUUAGUUUUUCACUAACCACGCAUAACAUUUUUUUUCUCAAAAACACAAUCAUGUACAUACAUGCUGCUCACAUAUUAUUAUAGCCUAGUUUGUGCUGAUUACAGUGAGAUUAAACUUUAGCCAUUUAGAUAUUUAUAAGAAACUGAAAAAGGCACAAAUGUCAGGGCAUGACAAAACUUCUUCAGGCCCCAAAAAUACCCUUAGACUCCAGAGGGUUAAGUUAUUUAUAUUGUUUUAUGGGUUAUUAAGUUAAUGUAUUGGAUAGCUUUUCCAACCUACUGCUCAAUUUUUAUACUUUUGACAGGGAGACAACUCAGAAGUAGUCAAUUCAGGAAGACAGCUCCUAAAUUUGUUCACAAAUGCAAUACCUUCCCCUGGUCCUGUUGGACCCAGUGCCCAACAUCAAACUUGCCCAGAGACUCCAAGGUGUUGUCUAGUUUCCCAACAAAUAACACACACACAGAGAUUAACAUGUAUAAAAUAAUGUGAUGCAUCUUCUGAACACGGCAUGUCAUUCUAGCAGACAGGAAAGGAGUCAGGAAAGAGGGAGAGAUGGCCGACCCAGUGUCCACACAGAAAUGACAAGGUCUUUUCCUGCCCUUUUUGGAGCCAGUGGAAAGCGCUGGCGUGUUCAAGGGCCUUCCAACCACUUCACACCAGUCAAAGAGAUAGAAGUUACAUUUUAUCUCUUACCCAAGAUUGUUGAGCACACUCCCAAAGGCAGUGAAGAAGUUUUCCAUCUGCAAGCUGGUUUGGGACGCAGGUCCACGCUGAUACCAGGGAACUACACCCAUGAUGAGGUGAGGCAACAUUUUUUUUGUCAUAUAAUAUUUUAAUAUAGUCCACUAUCAAAACCAAUGUUCUUUUGUCAAUAUGAUGGUAUGAUUUAUAUUACUCUUGAAGGUAUGUUCAACUCUCAAAGAUCUUUGUCCAAAACUUGAAAGUGUGUCUGGGGGCUGGCUGAUUUACAAAGGAGCAGGUACCUAGAACUUACCCAUGGAAAAUCUAAUCUUGGUAUAAAAUCAUUUGAAUCAAUAUCUUGAGUGAUGAGCUUUCUGUAGAUAUAUUUAUCAUGUAUGUGAGACGCCACAAUUUUAAGUUAAUUCAUAAUCAAGAAAAAUUUCAAGUGAUCAAGAGGGCGCCUCCCUGUCCUGCAUGCGCAUUAAUAAUUUUCGCACAAACACUUGAAUAUGAAUAAUAAUUCACAUUUUGCAUAUGCAUUACAACGUAAAUUAUUUUUUACAUGCAAUUAUCCAAAAUAAAACCAAACAAGAUUUGUAAUGAAGAUAAAACAAAUAAGAAUAAAUGCUGCGCGUGCACUCAGCAUGACUCGCGCCGCGCAAAUCUUGCACGCAGACAAAUUUACACACCUGCAUUUAAAUGCGGCUGCAAUUUUAUUUUUUUACUUAAAUUAUAUGAAAGCAAGUAAAGAAGGCUCCCUUUAAAAUUACUGAAGUUGUCAAUUAAUGAAGCUCUUAUUUACAUUGUGUGUAUUUUGUUGAUUAUAAUGAGAGAACUUGAGUUUAAACAUGAGAACGUUUUAUUAAUCCGUCCAUUCUUUAGACUUUCAAUGAUUUAGCUAAAUUGUGCAGGUUUAAUUUAUUCGUUUCUUGUUUUAAUUAGGCCUAAAUAAUGGGAACGAAAUUAUACAGUGCCUCACGUUUUACUAAAAUAAAGAAAAUAAUUUAUAAAACACGCAACAAUUUCUUAAUCAGUCUACAGACAAAUAUAUUUUCCCAAGAAGUUGUCUGUCAAAAUAAAGGACAGGUAACGAAUAACAAAAAUGCAUGUUGUUUUAUUAAAGGAAUUUUAAAAUAUAAAUUAAAAUAUAGGCCUAAUAUAUGAGAAUAUUGACAUUUUGCAAAUAAAUCCAUGUAGCCAAGCUCACUAAAAUAGGCUACCACUUUUAAUGCUACGAUGCAAAGUAAACCACAAUUUAUUUUGAAUAAUAUAACACAUAAUUCAUAUUAUAUAAAUAAUACUGCACACCUAUUAAAUGUGUUAAAUCUAAAAUAUGGUGUAAUACUGUGUAGCUUAGAGAAAAUAUAAGCACAGGCACAGGCUUGACAUUUAUCCUGCUUGAAUUCGUUCUAAGAAAUGCACAUAACUUCAUAAGUACCAAACUUUCAUCUGUGAAUAUUAAAUAUUUUAACUAUAGUGUUUUUUUUUUUCAUUUUCCCUGACUGCAGCCGUCAAAUGUAACACAUCAGCGAGGCAAAUCUGUCGUCUAUUUGCGAAAAUGUGCUUUGAUGCGCUUGUUUGAAAACUUG
ensembl:lncRNA